rnacentral:rRNA from 1 species
GCGACGCCGCGUGAGGGAUGACGGCCUUCGGGUUGUAAACCUCUUUCGCUAGGGACGAAGCGUAAGUGACGGUACCUGGAGAAGAAGCACCGGCCAACUACGUGCCAGCAGCCGCGGUAAUA